rnacentral:pre_miRNA from 12 species
CCUCUACUUAAACAUGGAGGCACUUGCUGUGACAUACUAAAAUAAGUGCUUCCAUGUUUGAGUGUGG